rnacentral:rRNA from 1 species
GAUGAACGCUGGCGGCGUGCCUAAUACAUGCAAGUCGAGCGAACAGACGAGGAGCUUGCUCCUCUGACGUUAGCGGCGGACGGGUGAGUAACACGUGGAUAACCUACCUAUAAGACUGGGAUAACUUCGGGAAACCGGAGCUAAUACCGGAUAAUAUAUUGAACCGCAUGGUUCAAUAGUGAAAGACGGUUUUGCUGUCACUUAUAGAUGGAUCCGCGCCGCAUUAGCUAGUUGGUAAGGUAACGGCUUACCAAGGCGACGAUGCGUAGCCGACCUGAGAGGGUGAUCGGCCACACUGGAACUGAGACACGGUCCAGACUCCUACGGGAGGCAGCAGUAGGGAAUCUUCCGCAAUGGGCGAAAGCCUGACGGAGCCACGCCGCGUGAGUGAUGAAGGUCUUCGGAUCGUAAACCUCUGUUAUUAGGGAAGAACAAAUGUGUAAGUAACUAUGCACGUCUUGACGGUACCUAAUCAGAAAGCCACGGCUAACUACGUG